GGUGAGUAACACGUGGGUAACCUGCCCAUCAGAAUGGGAUAACACUUGGAAACAGGUGCUAAUACCGUAUAACACUAUUUUCCGCAUGGAAGAAAGUUGAAAGGCGCUUUUGCGUCACUGAUGGAUGGACCCGCGGUGCAUUAGCUAGUUGGUGAGGUAACGGCUCACCAAGGCAACGAUGCAUAGCCGACCUGAGAGGGUGAUCGGCCACACUGGGACUGAGACACGGCCCAGACUCCUACGGGAGGCAGCAGUAGGGAAUCUUCGGCAAUGGACGAAAGUCUGAC
rnacentral:rRNA from 1 species